AUAGACCGCUCGCAGCCCGCCUAACACAUCCAAAUCGAGCGAGUGGCGGACGGGUGAGUAAUUUAUGGGAAACUGCCUGAUGGAGGGGGAUAACUACUGGAAACGGUAGCUAAUACCGCAUACCAUCAGCUGUGCCCAGAUGGGAUUAGCUUGUUGGUGGGGUAACGGCUCCCCAAGGCGAAGAUCCAUAGCUGGUCUGAGAGGAUGACCAGCCACACGUGAACUGAGACACGGUCCAGACUCCUACGGGAGGCAGCAGUGGGGAAUAUUGCACAAUGGGCGAAAUCCUGAUGCAGCCAUGCCGCGUGUAUGAAGAAGGCCUUCGGUUUGUAAAGUAAUUUCAGCAGGGAGGCGUUACCCGCAGAAGAAGCACCGGCUAACUCCGUGCCAGCAGCCGCGGUAAUUC
rnacentral:rRNA from 1 species